GGGUCCAUAGCUCAAUGGUAGAGCAACUGCCUUUUAAGCAGUGGGUUGGUGGUUCGAGCCCACCUGGACCCACCA
rnacentral:tRNA from 1 species